AUGGUUCUCCAGUGGUUCCUUAUGACCAUCCUGGUGCCUGUUGGCCAGGCACUUCAAUCGCCAGACAUGGUUGUCCGAGUGGGAGACUCUGUGACUCUGGACUGCUCCCAAAAGACAAAUGCAUUCUUGACCAUGUACUGGUAUAAAUUGCCCAUGGGGAAGGAUGCCACCCUGCAGUUGGUUGUAUACUCAAUGGAAGGUGGCACAGCAGAGAUUGAGAAGGAAUUCAGAAACCGCAUCCAGAGCAGCGGGACGAAGGGCAGCCGCUUAUCUAUGAAGAUAGAUCAUGCCCUACUCAAUGACUCUGGCACAUACUUCUGUGCUGAGCAAGACACACAGUGA